rnacentral:tRNA from 1 species
UCCCUUGUGGCUCAGCUGGUAAAGAAUCUGCCUGCAAAGCAGGAAGCCUGGGUUCGAUCCCUGGGUUGGGAA